rnacentral:lncRNA from 1 species
GAUAUAGCUCCUUGGGGAGAACUUGUGUCGAGGCUGACCAACACAGUGGCUUGUGCUUGGGAGCCUCGUGGAAAGAGUCACAGAGAAGCAUUUUACUGCUGCGUCCAAGUUAUUGCCACUGUGAUAAUUUGCUAAAUAUUUCAAUUUUCAAGAGGAAGUAGAAAUUCAGAACUUUAUGACACGUCUUCCAAGGUUAAAGUGGCAAAUGUGGCAACUAAUUCAAAAUGAAAAUGUGGUGAGGAGCCUGUGAAGGCCAAAACGUGAAAAGGAACAAAAUAUCCACAGACCAAAGGCAACCUGUGCCCACUGGUUCCUAACCUGCCCCAAGGAGUGGGCUGGCCGACUGACCUCCAUUCUCCCAGUUCCCCUGUGUUCUGCCACAGUCCUACUUCAUGUCUUCCACAUAGUAUGUGGCAGCGACCAGAGGACAACUGUGGUAUUUCCCUAGACAAGACUAACGGGGAUCAUGAUUUGACUCUGUCUCCUCAGUUGCCCUUCUUUCCUUCCAAAAUGUGACUUUAAUGAAAUAAAAUUAUAAAAUCUGCUUACCAACCUUUAUUUUAAAAUCCCUAAGAUAAUAAAUUAUUUAAAACAGGUUUACAUAAAUACAAAAAUCUUAAUUUGUAAGCAGUUAACCUUUUAAAUAUCAAUUGCUAUCUGAUGGCACUAAUUUUAGAAUUCC